rnacentral:rRNA from 1 species
AUGUACCAGUUUCUCGACAGCACACUGUACAGAAGAAGACUCAACGGCGUGAAAUUGAAGUGUAUUCGCCGGGAAGACGGACAAGAGCUGUUGGCAGAGAUACAUGGAGGCAUAUGUGGUCACCACAUUAGCGCAAGAGCACUUGCCGGCAAAGUGUUCCGGCAAGGUUUCUUUUGGCCGACAGCCCUCCAGGAUGCAACUGCACAAGUAACCAAGUGUGGAGCGUGCCAGUUCCAUUCCAAGCAGAUACACCAGCCAGCUCAAGCUCUCCAGACGAUCCUUUUAUCCUGGUCAUUUUCGGUCUGGGGGCUCGACAUCCUCGGCCCCUUUCCCCGAGCUGUCGGGGGCUUUGAGUACUUGUACGUUGCAAUCAACAAGUUCACGAAGUGGCCGGAAGUGGAAGCAGUGAGAAAGGUGACAGCACAGUCAGCAGUCAAGUUCUUCAGGUCGAUUGUUUGUCGCUUCGGGAUCCCUAACAGGAUCAUCACCGACAACGGCUCGCAAUUCACGAGCCGCACCUUCAUGCAGUACGUCCAAGAUCUUGGCGCCAAGGUCUGCUUCGCUUCUGUUGCUCAUCCGAGAAGCAACGGUCAAGCGGAGAGGACGAAUGCUGAAGUGCUGCGCGGGCUCAAGACCAGAACUUUCGACAGGCUGCACAAGUGCGGAAAGAACUGGAUUGAGGAGCUGCCGAUGGUUCUUUGGUCGAUCAGGAUGACGCCAAAUCGAGCCACUGGCCAGACACCUUUUGCUCUAGUCUAUGGAGCAGAGGCAGUUCUCUCCACGAAACUCGUAUACGGGUCACCCCGAGUGCUCGCUUAUGAUGAGCUUGAGCAAGAGCAGUUGCGACAAGAUGACGCGCUGCUCCUUGAGGAAGACCGUCUUCAGGCCGCUGUACGAGCUGCUCGAUACCAGCAAGCUUUGCGCCGCUACCAUAGCCGCAAAGUUAGUGCCAGAAGUCUUGAGGAAGACGACUUUGUUCUUCGGCGCGUUCAGUCCACCAAGAAUUCUAACAAGUUGACGCCGAGGUGGGAAGGCCCUUACCGGUUGAAACGAGUCACUAGGUCUGGCGCUGUCCGUCUUGAGACCGAAGAUGGCACUCCGGUGAGCAACUCCUGGAACAUUGAGCAUCUUCGUAAGUUUUACCCGUAA